CAAGUUCCCGUAUGAUCACUGAAGUUAAACAACAUCGAACCUGGUCAGUACCUAGAUGGGUGACUGCUUGGGAAUACCAGGUGCUGUAAG